UCUUGGCCUCAGACCUUCACCUCAGUGCAGAACAAGACAGCGCCACUUGAGGACAUUGCCUUGCCUUGCCUCAUUAACAGGCUGCUCUUGGUGCAAACAUGUUUUGCUCCUAGCCCUGCUAACAGCAGCAUAAAAUGAAUGUUCCAAGCAAAACCCGAAGCAUGCUCUCAUACAGAGGCCCACUCUCUUUACAAGCUUUAUUCUCACACUCUGUCAUUUUAUUGCCACCUAUUGAGUAAAUCAUAUAAUUGCAAUCCUUCCUCUAACUCUUUGCUCCCUGUUGCCUUGCAAUCACACCUCUUUUCCUCUACUAUCUACAGCUUUCUGCAAAUCACAUAAUUGUUUACAGACAGAGAAAGGCUGGGAAGGUAUACCGGCUAAAUUUCAUUUAAAAGCUAUCACUUACCACAAUUCUUUAUGACACCAUAGACUUAAAUUCUUCCCCCCACACACACACAAAAUAAAACCUCAAUCAGAAAAACCAGAAACUGUUCCACUCAGCGAGAAACAGCUGAUACUCAUGCCUUUGCAGCUACCUUUUGUUUAAGAAUAGACAUGCUGAUCACAGUGUCACAACUAUGGACGGCUUAAUUGAUUUCUGUGGGCGGCUAUCGUCCCCCACCCCCCCACCCCCAACAUUUAAAAAUGAUUUCUUUAUAUGAUCAAGGAAAUGACCUAACGUAACUAUGAGAUGCAUCAUUUUUUAUUCAUUUAUUAAUAUUAUUGUGACUGUCCCAGUUUCUAUGCUCUCUGCUGCCAUCUGGUGAACAGUAUUCAUAUCUGCAGCUCAUUCCUAAAUUCCCCUUGUUUUUUGGUGGGGAGAAUAAGCAGCAACAUUUACUGUAUAUCAGUUAUAUAUAUUGUAUAUUUUUCUCUUUGUAAAAGGUUUGUGUAACCCAAUAGAAAUUAUGUUGACAUUAAGAGGGAUAUAUUUAUAUGUAAAUUUACCAGGUGUUAGGUGAACACACAUAAGUUGUAUAUUUUAGUAUUUCAUUCUUUAUUUUCUGGAUGUAGGUGUUGUGUAAUUUCUGAUUAUUAGAGCAUAUUGGCCAUAGCUAUUGAAAUGUAGCGCUUUUAGCUUGACUAAACUUUAGCCCAGCCUGAUUAGCAGCUAUAAGAUGGUAGGCCAUCAAUCAAUCAAUCUUUAUUACAGUCAAAGACCAGCACAGGUACAGUAAUACAAUAAAAUCGAUUGUGAGAAACAAUGUUGCAUGUAUCACUGAGACUGAGAUUGGUAUUACUAUGAAAACUAAAAAAAGGAGGAUUUAAAAAAUACAAAAUAUUUAAAAUAUACUACAGAGUGCAAACCAAGUAGCUAAAAUAUAUAUAGACUAAAAGAAAGCAUGGAACAUCUAAUUAAAAUAGUAAGGUAGCUAGCUAAAAUAGAUAAUGAAAUUUUAAAAUCUGCUACAUAAAAUGGAUAUAACAAUGCAUAUAAUAUUAAAGAUGAUUGUGUUUUACAAGUAGAUAGAAGUGUGUAUAUACUAAAAGAACUAAAAAAUACUAAAAAUGAGGGAGAUAAAAUGAUACUAUUUCUGUUAUAGUAACAGUAUAAAUAUAUAUAUGACUAUAAAAUAAAGGCAUCUAAGGUAGUAAAAAUGAUAGAAAUAUUUAAAAAGACAUAUUAAAAUAAAUUGUUCAGUAAUUAAAAUCACGAGUUAUGGAUUGGCAGGAUGGUAGGCCAUGUUUUGCUGCUUCUGCCUGGAAAUGUUUUGCUAUUAUUAUGCUGAUAAGUGAUAAACAGAUAGUGGUCAAAUUUCAACAUGGAGUUAGAAAAACAGAUACAGAUAACCACAAGACUAGUUUAAGAGACAUACCUGCUUUACAAAUAAAACCAUGUUGUUUGGGGGUUAUGUCACCGAAAUCACAUGAGUGCUGACGUCACUGCGAGCUGUCAGAAAGGCAAAUCAUUGGAAAUGGUCAGAACCAGGGCUAUGUCCUCACCCCGGAUGUUAUACCCCCCAACCCACCACCCGCACCCCAGAAUAUGCCUGAAGAUGGGCAUGUGACCCUUCUACAAACACAUCCCACCACCCUGACUCAAUUGGAACAGGUUUCAGAGCCCAGAAAGGCCUGAUGAAGCAGGCAUGAUAACUUUGUGCAACUUUAUUGGUCGAGAUGGGGUCAAGUGACCUCUCUAAGUACAGGCCUUGUGCCAGAGUGCUUAGAGGAGACUGUCUUACAGUUCUGCAGAGACUGUGGACGAUGCUAGGACUCUGCUGUGGCCUGUGGGUCUAUCUUUACCACAGACACCCUGAACAUUAAACCUAUUAGACUGAAGAGUCUGUUCUACCCUCCAGUAGGCCUGAAAACUCACCAGAUGGCUGUUUUUACUGCCAGCUGGGUUCCGGAUCCAGAAACAACCUCCCCAGCAAACCAAUAUGAUGAAUUAGAAUGCAACUAGCCGACCCGCACAGAGCAUCUGUGUGUUCUUUGGGGCUGGCAGUUACAUCUCCCCCCACCCAAACACACACACACACAUCUUCUGCCCCAGUCUCUGCUUCUGGGCCCAGCUGCGUCUCCUCCCCACCGUCACUUCUCCCCUCCCCCACUGUCUUUCCCUCCUGCCCCUUGCCCCCACAGUCAGGUGGGUCCGCCACCGCCUCUGUCCGCCACCGCCGGCCUCCGCGGCUAACCCGGGCCCGCCGUCGCCGGCCUCCGCGUUUGGGCCGGGCCCACCGCCGCCGGCCUCCACGUUUGGGCCGGGCCCGCCGGCAGCGGCCUUCACGUUUGGGCCGGGCCUGCCGCCGGCCUCCGCGUUCGGGCUGGGCCCGCCGCCGCCGGCCUCCGCGGCUAGCCUGGGCCUGCCGCUGCCGGCCUCCGCAUUCAGGCCGGGCCUGCCGCUGCCGGCCUCCGCAGCCGGCCCGAGCCUGCCACCGCCCUGGCCUCCAUGGCCCGGCCAGGCCCCCCGCCGCCUCUGUCCUCCACCACUGAGACGCGCCUCAGCCAGUCAGGUGUGUUCCUCCGCUCCGCUGCCCAGCCAAUCAGCUGGGUUGCUGGGACGCAUCCCCACAGAGGCUGAGGUGAGGCACGUCUACGAGAAUUAAAUAUAUGGAUUCUGGGCACUAUAACACCAACUCAGCUUCUGCUCUGGAAACUGAAGUUGGAGGGCCGGCCUUCAGCUAAUGCCCCCCCCAAGCAGAAACGUAUGUUAAUCAGAUUAUGAAACAGAAGCUCCUGUGAAACGAAAGCUGCAUGGGGAAAAACUGAUGAAGUGGAGGCUUCAGUUUUAUUGUUAUGAUGACUACUGUUGCCAACAUUCUGAUGGGGACUUUUCUGAGGAUGAGGAGUGUGGCUAACAUUCUUUUUUGUCAAGCAGGCCCAUGGAUUUACAGUGCAUGCAAAAGUGCUGCCUGUCUAGUGAAGAUCAGUCAUCAUGUGAUUGCUUGACGCCAAUUUUAGGCUGCCUGGGAUUCUCUUACUGCAGGCCUGUGUGCUUUACUUUAUCAUCUGAAAGUGGGGAGAAGGAGGAAGCCAUUUAUGGCGGUGUGCUUACAAAACUAAGAGCUCCAACGGAGGGACCUAACAAGCUGCAUUUUCCAACCUGUGAGCAGUUGUGGCUUGCAGUUUGCAAGGCAGGAGGUUUUUCAGUGGAAAUCCUGCAAGAAGAGGGUGAGUUCAAGGAAGAGGAAGGAAGCCUUGACUGUAUAGAAGAAGGGAAAACCCAUUGCUGGUGGGGAAAAGGAAGGAACUGGGCUGCAGAUCGAGUGCUCAGCUGCAAAGGUGGAGAGAGUGCCAUCCUUUUAGUUGUAUAUGGAGGAAGGGAAUUUUGGUGUACCCGUCACGAGGAGGUGCCGGCGGGCCAGGCCAGCCACUGGGAGCAGGCGACAGGCAGGAGGAGGAGACGGGCUGACUUGAAAACCGGCAAGGAACAGUAGCCGGGGGGGGGAGCGGGUCAGGCGGGCUAGCUCUGUGCCCAGCCCAGCUAUGAUGGUUACUUGAAGGGAACUGGCAAAACUUAUUUCAGCUUUCAGGUUCCCUGUUUUAAUCAGGGAAUAGUGGGCCACACAUUCCUGGUCUGGACUGGAGUCCAAUCAAACGGGGGUGGGGGGGACCAGUUUGUGGUCUCAGAGUCGUCCUUAGGGUGGAACAAGUUACUAACUGACUGCCGCUGAAGAAGAUUCAUAAAGAAAAUUCAUCAUAAAGAAAAUUCCUCUGACUUCUUGUUUAUAAAUCAGGAUUUCUAACAUUUUACAUCGUAAGAAAAAAGGUAUCGUAGAGAAAAUUCUUUGGAUUAUUUGUCUAUAAAUCUGGAUUUCCAGUAUUUGACGUCUGAAGAAAAAUCCUUUGAAUUAUUUGUCAUUGAAUUUGGACUUUGGAAGAUAAUUUUUGGUCUUUUGUCAGUGGAUUUUGAGUUUCAUGAACUUCUGACAUAUACAGUGAUUACUACUUGGAAUGAGUACUUGGGACUAUUUUUAAUAGUCUAUUACUCUAUUUAAAUUACUCAUGUAUUACAAUACUGGGCUACUCAAAGGAAUUCUCAAAGGAAACUUAAACCGUCUAUCCACAUCCUUUUCAUUUUGUCAUUACAGCUUAAAGGCAUCUAUUCUGAAUUAUCCCAAUGAACUGAAUUAACUGAAUAGCCAGAGAGAAAGAAUGCAUGUCAGGAAUAACGCUAGGCCAUGCAUGAAAUAAUCAUACCCUGCAGUUAUAGAGCACUUUUUAGGGUGUUCAAGCAUUGCACACUGAUUAUCUUGCACUAAUCCUUGUAACAGCCCUGAAUGUUGGUAUGACUCCCACAUUCUGGAUGGGGCUGAGGGUGAGGGAGUGGCUUCCCGAAGGCCCUUAACUGAGCCCAUAGCAGGGGUAAGGUUUGAACCCAGGAUUUUCUGAUUCAAAGCCUCAGAGCCUUCCAUUCAACAGGGGUUCGCUCUCAGGAAGGCCGUAUGCAGGUGGCAACUGGGAGACCUGAAGCCAUAGCAUGUGGAGCUUCCUUUCAAAUCCCAAAGGGACAUCAAAUAACCAGCUGGCUUUUAAAAUAAUUCCUCUUUAAUUAAGGUGAAGAUAACUGAUGUCUGCUGGAACCUUGUGAAGAUGAGUGCUCUACCAAGCUGGGUGGACAGAGUUUCCCGUCACUGCAACUGUGGUCUGAGUGGCAGCCCCUACUCCUCCUCCUUCCGCCAUGACAUCAUCCUUCAUCAUCACAUUCUGCUUCCAACAUUCUUCUGGCCCCAAUGUUACCAUAGGAACAGCAAUAUACAAGUUCUCAUCAUCGCCAUCCAAUGCUCCAUUCCUUAACGGAAAUUUCAGGAGAGCAGUUGCUUGCAGCGGGCUUUCCUUUUCAAAAGCAGGUGGCUAUUUUCAUUUGAUCGCCAUUUGGCCCAGUUCUCUCUCAUCAUGGCAGGCUGUUGGCAGAGUCAGGACCCAGCUGACCUGAGGCCACUUACUCCUGACAUGAAGAGAAGAAAGAAGACUUCUUAUUAAGAGCAGAGGAGGAGAGACCUGGAGGAAGGAAGCCCAUCACCUCCAGCAGCCACACAGUGGUCCGGAAGCCUCUGCUGCCUCCCCUGGUGCCGGAUCCUGGGGCCAGUCAGUCCCAGCUAAGGCUCACAGGAAACCACCCUUUUCCUUGAAGGCCCCACCCCUGUGGCUGGACCAUCAAUGGAAAGGCUGAAGCCUACCAAAAGAUCCGAGCAGCAGCCCCAAGCUGAAAGCAGCACCAGGUGGAAGCUACCAUGGGAGAGCAGUCUACCAGCCUUGUAGGGCCCUACCAAGGCCACUCGGCAUGUGGCCAAUGCAGGAGGAGGGAGCAUGCCUUCUAGGGGUAAGCCUCUUCCCCACCUGGGGGAGGGGAGACUCUACAGAAGGAAGCUGGAGUCUGCAGUGAAGCGUGCCAAACUACUGUAGCCCAUCCCCAGGUGGAAUCUGGACCUUGGGUAGACUGGGCGGGACUUCUUCCCACUGGGGCAGGACUGACCUUCUGGCUUAUCUAGGGAGAGAGUUCCUCCCCAGGGUUCUUCAGAUACCAUUCAGAGAAAGAAAACCCUGGCCCCGAUGAGCCAACUCCUGCUGAAGCCCCUGCUAUUUUCUUAGCAGCCACCAUUGACUCACCAAAGGCUCAACCCAUUGCCAGUGCUGACCAUCCAAGCGCUCGGGAGCCUCAAGGCAAAGCCAGACUCAGAAAUAAAUAAAAAUAACAUUUUCUUUCUUUUCAAGAGCAGAGGAGGAGAGAUCUGUCUGGCCAAAGGAAACCCAUCACCUCCAGCAGCCACACAAAGGCCUGGAAGCUGCUGCCACCUCCCCUGGUGCCUGUGCCAGAGCCCGGGGCCAGUACCUACCAGGCUUCACAGGAAAUCACCCUCUCCCUUGUGGCUGGAAACCUUGUGGAAACCACCCUCUCCAUCCCUGUGGCUGGACCAUCAACGGAAAGGGUGAAGCCUGCCAGAAGAUCCCAAGAGGCAGCCCCAGGCAGAAAGCAGCACCAAGGGAAAGCCUCCAGGGGAGGGCAGCUCACCAGUUCUCCUGGGGGAGAAGACUCUGACCCCAAUGGGCUGACCCCUGCUGAAGCCACGCUCCUGCCUGAAGCCACACAUUUGGGAAGAGACAUCACCAUCUGCUCCUUCCCAAGGGCUGUGUCUUCUGGUGCAAGGCCUAUGCCAACUGACUGGUCCACAUAUUAGCUGCAUUUACCCCAGAGUCACUGCAGGCUAUCAGGGACCAGUACAGACAGGACUCUGGUUUUCCCCGAAUCAUGGCUGUGCAUUCUGGCUUAGUCCAAAUUAUGUUUGGCUUUAAAAAAUCCUGUAUUUUCAGCAGCUUUUUUUUAAAAAACCCUGAGACUUC